ACGGGUGAGUAACGGGUGGGUAACCUGCCUCAUACAGGGGGAUAACAGUUAGAAAUGACUGCUAAAACCGCAUAAGCGCACAUUGUCGAGUGACAGAGUGUGAAAAACUCCGGUGGUAUGAGAUGGACCCGCGUCUGAUUAGCUAGUUGGUGAGGUAACGGCCCACCAAGGCGACGAUCAGUAGCCGGCCUGAGAGGGCGACCGGCCACAUUGGGACUGAGACACGGCCCAAACUCCUACGGGAGGCAGCAGUGGGGAAUAUUGCACAAUGGGGGAAACCCUGAUGCAGCGACGCCGCGUGAGUGAAGAAGUAUUUCGGUAUGUAAAGCUCUAUCAGCAGGGAAGAAGAAAGACGGUACCUGACUAAGAAGCCCCGGCUAACUACGUGCCAGCAGCCGCGGUAAUACGUAGGGGGCAAGCGUUAUCCGGAUUUACUGGGUGUAAAGGGAGCGUAGACGGCGGUGCAAGUCUGAAGUGAAAGCCCAGGGCUCAACCCUGGGACUGCUUUGGAAACUGUGGAGCUAGAGUGCUGGAGAGGUAAGUGGAAUUCCUAGUGUAGCGGUGAAAUGCGUAGAUAUUAGGAGGAACACCAGUGGCGAAGGCGGCUUACUGGACAGUAACUGACGUUGAGGCUCGAAAGCGUGGGGAGCAAACAGGAUUAGAUACCCUGGUAGUCCACGCGGUAAACGAUGAAUACUAGGUGUUGGAGAGCAAAGCUUUUCGGUGCCGUCGCAAACGCAAUAAG
rnacentral:rRNA from 1 species